CUCUGCUGCAGUGAAGAGCCUUCAGUUCGAAGGUACCACAAGUAGUCUGCUACAGCCAUAACUCUGACCCAUAAUGGUUCCUGUCUGUAAAAACUACAGGGAUGGAAAUGGAGAGGAUCCUGAGGAAAAGAAGUGUUUUCCAGCCCUUUGAGUAAGGCUCAUGGAACAUUGCAGAAGUGAUGAUGUAAAAAGUAUAAGAGCCAGAGAUGAUGGAGGCAUCAAGAAAGAAGGUCCUAUCACUCAACAUCAUCAAAAUACAUAUGAACCUACAAAGUCUGAAGUAGAAAAAGCAUGACCUGAAUAUGUUUGCAUCAAAUUUCUUUUUAUAUUUAUUAUUGCUCCCAGAUUAACGUUUUUAUGGGAAUUCUGAUUGUGCAAGCAUUUCCGUGUUUUGGUGUCUUCUCUUGGUCCCUUUUUCUUCUGGUUUAUUUCUGUGUUUGUUUAAUGGUUGUUUGGCUGCUUUUGUCAAAUUUUAUUAUGUCAGCUUUUGUUUUAUCACAUUGUAUUUUGCUUUAUUGUUGUAUUUUAUUAUUACUUAUAUGCAUCCUUAUUUUCUCAUAAGAGACAGAAAGUUAGUAGAUCUGGAAAGGAUGAGAGUAGGGAGAAUCUGGAAUAAGUGAUGUGAGGAGGGGUGGAGACUUAUUUGGGGAAAAAGUAAAUCUAUUUACAAUAAUGGGGAAAAGUAAAGGAGUAACUUAAUACUAAAAUAAAACAGCUGAAAUAAUAUGUUUUUCUCUUUGUAAGUAAAUAAAACUCUGUAUUGUCUCUUUGAUCAUUUACCUCUUGAUGUUGAUAAAUAUUUGUACCAAAAACAAAUAUUUCAUAUAAUAAAAUGAUUUAUACUUC